AGUCACUGAACUUACUCCCUUCUGUUGCAAGCAAGACAAACACUAAACACGAUGUCUUCCCUUCGAAUUGUUCUGGUCGUCGUGGCCCUGAUCGCCCUCGUGUCCGUGGCCUUCGCGAUGCCAGGCUACGGAGGCUACGUCAGGCCGUCCUACCACGGCUCAUCCCACGGCUUCCACGGCUCAUCCCACGGCUUCCACGGCUCAUCCCACGGCUCCUACGGCUCCGUCGGCUACGGCCGACCCUCCUACGGAUACAACAGGCCUUACGGACAUCGCGGGUGAGGCAGCGACGCCGACGCCAGACCGAGGGAGGUGCUGGCGACACUCAAGGAGUCGAGACGAUGAUUCUGGCAGGGAUCGAGGAAGCCUUUGAGAAGAAUCGCCAAGAAUUUCGUUAGGUUUUGGUGUUUUUUUUUUCGGAGGUCAUGGCAGUGCCGGAGAGAUUUUUCG